GACGAACGCUGGCGGCGUGCUUAACACAUGCAAGUCGAACGAUGAUGCCAGCUUGCUGGUGGAUUAGUGGCGAACGGGUGAGUAACACGUGAGCAACCUGCCCCUGACUUCGGGAUAACCGCGGGAAACCGUGGCUAAUACCGGAUAUGACGCGCUAUCGCAUGGUGGUGUGUGGAAAGAUUUAUCGGUUGGGGAUGGGCUCGCGGCCUAUCAGCUUGUUGGUGGGGUGAUGGCCUACCAAGGCGACGACGGGUAGCCGGCCUGAGAGGGUGACCGGCCACACUGGGACUGAGACACGGCCCAGACUCCUACGGAGGCAGCAGUGGGGAAUAUUGCACAAUGGGCGCAAGCCUGAUGCAGCGACGCCGCGUGAGGGAUGACGGCCUUCGGGUUGUAAACCUCUUUCAGUAGGGAAGAAGGCCUUCGGGUUGACGGUACCUGCAGAAGAAGCGCCGGCUAACUACGUG
rnacentral:rRNA from 1 species